CCUACGGGAGGCAGCAGUGAGGAAUAUUGGUCAAUGGACGCAAGUCUGAACCAGCCAUGCCGCGUGCAGGAAGACGGCUCUAUGAGUUGUAAACUGCUUUUGUACGAGGGUAAACGCAGAUACGCGUAUCUGUCUGAAAGUAUCGUACGAAUAAGGAUCGGCUAACUCCGUGCCAGCAGCCGCGGUAAUACGGAGGAUUCAAGCGUUAUCCGGAUUUAAUGGGUUUAAAGGGUGCGUAGGCGGUCGGAUAAGUUAGAGGUGAAAUCCCGAGGCUCAACUUCGGAAUUGCCUCUGAUACUGGUCGGCUAGAGAGUAGUUGAGGUAGGCGGAAUGUAUGGUGUAGCGGUGAAAUGCUUAGAGAUCAUACAGAACACCGAUUGCGAAGGCAGCUUACCAAGCUACUUCUGACGUUGAGGCACGAAAGCGUGGGGAGCAAACAGGAUUAGAUACCCUUGUAGUC
rnacentral:rRNA from 1 species